AGUAGUCUCUCAUAUAGUUUC
rnacentral:snRNA from 1 species